CCCUGGAGAAAAUCCAGCCUCUCUGGCCUUGGAUCGACAUUCUCAUCUGGAAGUCAAUGUGUUCUUGGUAAAGGAUGAAAUGAAACAUACACAGACACACAAACAGUACAACAGUGUUGUGGAAGCAAACCACACUCCAAAGAAAUGAUGAAGAAAUAAGCAGGAUAAUGGGAAGACAUUCCUGCACUGCAGACCCUUUGCUGGCUAUGUGAUGUGCUGUUGUUAUGUUUGGAACAAGUCUCUUGUUGAGUCUGUCGGGUAGUGGUGCCCCCGUCUUCCUGCUUGGGGAAAGAGCAGCAGCUGAUCAGAAUUACACCCAGCAUGACGGCACUGGCCAGAUGUGAACACAGA